rnacentral:pre_miRNA from 1 species
AUUAAGUUUAUUUUUCAGUUUUCAGAUACAAUGUUUUAACUCUUCGUCUUAUUUGAAAUUCUUUUACGAUUAAUAUUUUUAUUGUUACUAGAUGGUAAAACAUGAGUAAUACUUUAUGUGUGACUAAUUUUUUUAAGUUUUUUAAUAAAUUUUUUAGAUAAGACGAAUGGUCAAACGUUGGACAUCGAAAUCGAAAAAUAAAGUUAUU